AAAGACUCCAAAAUUCACACUCUUAAUUAAAACGUGAAAAAACGACCCUUCAAACAUCGUUUCUAUGACCUACGCCAAUGUAUACAUACACUAACUCUUGCACGAAGAACACCAACUUGGAACUGAGAUGGCUAAGAAACUCAACUCACAGCUAUUCGUUAGCAGAUUAUCAUCGUACACCACAAAUGAACAUCUGAAGAGGUUGUUUUCGCGAUUUGGGGUAGUUACAGAAGCUAGGUUAGUUAAAGACCCAAGAACCCAAAGGCCCAAAGGUUUUGGCUUUGUCACAUACGAAUCAGAGGUAGAGGCUCAGAAGGCUUUGAAGGCCAUGAAUGGCAGGUGCUUAAUGUUGGUGCACCGUGUACAUGGGUUACACCCCCUUUGUGUUUAAUCAUUGAAACAUUUACUUAUCAAAAAGAAGAAGAAGAGAGCCCCAGAUACCCUCAAUUUAUCUUGUUAGGAAUUGUAUCUCUGCAUAUAGUUGAUGGAAGACUGAUAUUUGUGGAAGUUGCAAAGACUGAAAAACCUGGAGAGGAUGCUACCUCACAAUAAUAAGGCUCUUUUUUUUUUAGCUCCAUGCAGAGAUCUGUGUAACAAAUGCCGUUGAGAUUAGUGUCAAAUGACUAAUAGCAUAGUGUAAAACACAGUUGCCCCCCCUAUCUUUUUCAGUUCUUUUCUCUUCUUGCUACCCAAAGAAAGAAAUAAUAUGCAUAUUUCUUUGGAAAUUAGAAUGCAUACUAGUUAAUUUCUUCUUUCUAGAACAGAACUUUUAGUUUGUUUGAACUUGUAACACCACACGAGCAAUGUGCAAUAUGGUCUGAUUCUUAUGAUUUACCAAAAAGCAAGUUGUUGUGUUUAUUA